UACGUAGGGUGCAGGCGUUAAUCGGAAUUACUGGGCGUAAAGCGUGCGCAGGCGGUUUCUUAAGUCAGAUGUGAAAGCCCCGGGCUUAACCUGGGACUGCGUUUGAAACUGGGAGACUUGAGUGUGGCAGAGGGGGGGUGGAACUGCGAGUGUAGAGGUGAAAUUCGUAGAUAUUUCGCAAGAACACCAGUGGCGAAGGCGGCUCACUGGGCCGGUCCUGACGCUGAGACGCGAAAGGCGUGGGGGAGCGAAACGGG
rnacentral:rRNA from 1 species